UUGCCUACUUCAGCAGCACAUAUAUUAAAAUUAUAAAGAUAUGGAGAAGACCAGCAUGGCCCCUGACCAAGAAUGACACAGAAAUUCUUGAAGCAUUCCAUAUUUUU
rnacentral:snRNA from 1 species